UGCAGUCGACGAUGAUGGUGGUGCUUGCAUCACCUGAUUAGUGGCGAACGGGUGAGUAACACGUGAGUAACCUGCCCCUCACUUCGGGAUAACCUCGGGAAAUCGUGGCUAAUACCGGAUAUGAACUUCUACCGCAUGGUGGUCGUUGGAAAGAUUUAUCGGUGAGGGAUGGACUCGCGGCCUAUCAGUUUGUUGGUGAGGUAAUGGCUCACCAAGACGAUGACGGGUAGCCGGCCUGAGAGGGCGACCGGCCACACUGGGACUGAGACACGGCCCAGACUCCUACGGGAGGCAGCAGUGGGGAAUAUUGCACAAUGGGCGAAAGCCUGAUGCAGCGACGCCGCGUGGGGGAUGACGGCCUUCGGGUUGUAAACCUCUUUCAGUAGGGAAGAAGCGAAAGUGACGGUACCUGCAGAAGAAGCGCCGGCUAACUACGUGCCAGCAGCCGCGGUAAUACGUAGGGCGCAAGCGUUGUCCGGAAUUAUUGGGCGUAAAGAGCUCGUAGGUGGCUUGUCGCGUCUGCCGUGAAAACCCGAGGCUCAACCUCGGGCGUGCGGUGGGUACGGGCAGGCUAGAGUGUGGUAGGGGAGACUGGAACUCCUGGUGUAGCGGUGAAAUGCGCAGAUAUCAGGAAGAACACCGAUGGCGAAGGCAGGUCUCUGGGCCAUUACUGACACUGAGGAGCGAAAGCAUGGGUAGCGAACAGGAUUAGAUACCCUGGUAGUCCAUGCCGUAAACGUUGGGCACUAGAUGUGGGGGACAUUCCACGUUUUCCGCGUCGUAGCUAAC
rnacentral:rRNA from 2 species